rnacentral:sRNA from 2 species
ACGAAGGAAUGUUAUUUUGAUCAUGGUAUUUAUCUGUAUUGUGUAUUAUAUUAUUUUUUCUUUGCUUCGUUUGAAGGAGCAAAUAUCGAUUCAAGACAGGCUAAUCCCAUCCUGAUGCCCUAUGCUGCUAUUUCCGCCUAACUAUUGCUAGCUAAAUGGGAACCUGUACGCACCGUACAGAGUCUUCUUGAUGUUUAUGUGCGCUGAAUGUGUAAAAAAGCAUAUUAAAAAUUUCGACCGUUGCCCAAUGUGUGAUGCAAUGCUAUGCAAUAAUGCAACCCAGUCAAGGAGGGAAAAAAAAAUAAAACCCCAGCAAGCUCGUUGCUUUCGAAUGUGAUCCCAGCAGGAGACCAUUAGGAGAAAUCGAAAAAAGUACUUCCCAUCAUUCAGCCAUCUGCAGAGUCCAGAACGAUGAUCUCAUAGUCGCUCGGGAGCUAAAAGUGGGGAAGAAGAGGAGGUGAAGAAGUGAAAAUAAAAAAUGAAAAAAGUCGAUUUCACCAGCACAGCUGCGAUCGAUGAACAGAGUAGCGAAAAACAAAUCAAAAACAAAUCGAUACCAAAUUGGUUCGGGGGGGGUAUAAUGCAUAACAGAAAAGGACAAAAUGAAUAAAAAUGAGGCGCCGAACAAGAUAUGGACAAGAAAAAUAAUAGGGUUCCCCCAACACUACGCUCCGCUGUGCUUGGUACAUCAGAGAGGGCAAAAGAGAUCAAAGGCCGAAUGCCGAAGGUAACACCACGCGCAAAAUAAAAAUUCAGGCAGAGAGGUGAGGGGGAAGUCAAGGCGUGGGGGAAGGAUAGGCAGAGAGUGAACAGUGCUGCUGCUGCUGCUGUUUGUUGUUGUUGCUGCUGAUGAUGAUUCAAGACGUGAACAGCAACAACAGGCA